rnacentral:piRNA from 1 species
UUUGAUGUCUAGAGCCUUUAGUUAUGGUU